GAUUUACAGAUAUUAUUAAUGGUUUAAAAAAUCUUGAUAAAUCUUAUACGAAUAGUGAUCUUAUGAGAAAAAUUCUUAGAUCUUUGCCAAGGUUAUGAGAAGCAAAGGUCACAAUCAUUCAAGAAGUCAAAAACUUAAAUGUUCUACCAUUGAAGGAGCUUCUAGGAUUAUUGAUGAUGCAUGAACUCUUAAUGAAGCAGCAU
rnacentral:lncRNA from 1 species